GCGCACGCGCAUAUUUUCCUGCCGUGGAGCUCUAUCGUGGUGGCUGUCUGCAAGUUUCCAAUUUGAACCAGAUGCUAUGUUCUACUGGAGCAAAAUGGGCCGUUCUCGGUUGUCAUUCAUGUUUAAUUCAGUCACACAGCCGCAAAACUGUGUUCAGGAGUUCUAGGUCCCUGCUGUAGCCUGAAAGGGAUGAUGUCAGUGCUUCUGGGUGACAGGGAAGCUGAGCCCUUAGAAGACCUUCCUGCCUACGUGCUUCUCAAAUAGGCAAAGCUCCGAGAUACUCCAUCACUGUGACACCUGCUGACCCACGCUGUCUACCUACCUUGGUCCUGGGAGUCAUGGGACCUCAUUACACUUCCUGUGAAGAGAGAAGUCACUGUCUGUCUGUCUGGGACUUGAAGGCUUGAUCUCCAAAUCCUCUCUGUCUAAUUCUAUAUAUUUCAGGGGCUUUUGUUUUUGUCACCCAACGCUUGGCGACACGACUCCAGUUUGCCUGUGUUUUAUGAGGUGAUGCGUGGGGUGUUCAGGGUAAAACUCCCAAGCCUUGACCCCCAGCAUCCCAACAAGCACAGUAAAUUCCCGGUUGAAUUUCAAGCUUAAGAAAUCACUUAAAGAAUUUAUGCUGCCCAUUCGUUCCGUUCUGUCUGGAUGCUCUGCUCCCACCCCGUGUCCUUCUCACAUUUCCCGACUCUUGUCACAGACUUUGCUGAUUGCUCAUCUUCUCCCCCUGGCUCCUGUGUGACCUUGGCAAGCCUGGGUACCUCCACGCAGUUCACAUUUCCCCACCUCUGAAAUGAAGGUAUACUUUGUCGUGCUGGGAUUCCUGAGGGUACAGUCGUCUCUUUAAACUGCUGAGCAAGAUCCAAGCUCCCCUGGAGUGUCAAAUGACCAGUGCUCAGCUUGUCUCUUGGUGGGGGUCCCUGUCACCUCUCUGGUCCCUUCUAAUAGACACGAAGCCUGAGGAUACAUCUCCCUGGCCUUGGCUUUCCCUCCACCUCAGAAACAGCAUGCGAAUGUCAAAACAGCUCUUGAGCAGACGGUUGGCUUGCAUGCAGAACCUCUGCCUGCUCACUCUGCUGGCCACUUCCUGCUUGCAUAGGUUCUCCUGACACCUUACUUCUUGGGGAUCCUGUGGUGGUUUGAAAGAAAAUGGCUCCGAAAGGGAGUGGCACUAUUAGGCUUUG